rnacentral:snoRNA from 1 species
CCUCCUUUUCUUGGCGGGGAGUGGGCGUGCGGUCCCGCUCCCUGUUAUGUGUGGAGGCAGAGGGAAGGGGCAUCAGCCCGCUCUCAGCAUGUUUUUUGUGCAUCGGCUUUCUAUGCGAAGAUUAUUCUUCUAUAGGCCGGGCAUGC